rnacentral:misc_RNA from 1 species
UCAAACUUGGUCAUUUAGAGGAAGUAAAAGUCGUAACAAGGUCUCCGUUGGUGAACCAGCGGAGGGAUCAUUACCGAGUUUUAGAACUCCCAACCCACUGUGAAUCUUACCUACGUUGCUUCGGCAGGCCUAGCCUGCCGGAGGACACCCAAACUCUGUUAGUUUCAGGCGUCGUCUGAGUGUAACAUAAAAAAUGAAUCAAAACUUUCAACAACGGAUCUCUUGGUUCUGGCAUCGAUGAAGAACGCAGC